UGUUUUUUGCCUGUUUUUAAUUUGAAAAUUAUGUGAAUUUUACUGCCUUUCUAGUGUAGAAAGGCUGUUAUAAACAUUAUUUAGACUAAGCCUCGGGUUACACGACCCCAAUUUUUAUGAACAUUUCUUACAGAAAUUUCUGCAACUUUUUCCAUCCACCUGAAAACAUUACAGAAAUAAAGGAAAACUUUAGUAUAAGAUGUUACCUUAGCUUCCACAGUGCUUUCCGCUUGGAAGCUUUUCUGAAUUUUUCUCUGUCAAAAACUGUUACAGUUCAUAAAUCGGGGGUCUUGUUAGUCACUUUGCCUAUAGUACACCUGGCUUGUUGAUAAUUAUGUUAUUUUUAAAGUCAAAAAAUUAACUUUCUGAAUCAUGAUCAGAAGCCACAAAUGUCAGUGUAUGUAAAUCAGGCAUAGCAGAAAGUGUAGAAUGGGUAAAACUAUCAAAGUACAUUUGUAUUUUAUUGGUAAGAAAAAAACCUUUUUAAUGGAGUGAUGUACUGUGAAUUGGAAAUGUUUUUUGCAAGUAUAAUUAUACAAUUUACAUGAAAGGGACAUAACUCUGCAUUGUGCUGAUAUUUUUAUAAUGAAAAAAUCAUCAAGAAUAAUUUACACUGAUGGCCAUUUAUGCAUAAAUGGAAAAUAUAUAUUGUACUUUCAAGUUAUUUCACUUAACCAUGUCAGUGCAAGUUGUAGUAUUUUUGUUUUGUUGAUUUCGUUGGUUGAAUUUGACAUUUUAUCAAUAAUACUAUCACGAAACUUUGGCUGUAAAUGUUGAAAAGAACACUACAUGUUUGGAAAAGUCGUCCAUGUAUCGUCUAAAUGAAUGUCUGGAGUGGUCGUUGGACUGUAAGUGUCUAUAUAUUUGAGUGUGCUUUCAUUGACUAGAUUUGUUGGAGGCGCUGUACCUCUGCCUUCAAUAGAAUUUGUUGUAUAUAAUGUCAUGUAAGUGUGUCUAGGUAUUCAGAUGAUGAGAGGGAGAUAUGUUAAUCAUCCAUUGUUUUAUUUUGAAUGCUUACUGCAUUUUAUUAGUACAUACUGACUAUGUACAGAAGUUAAGAUUGUGAUUUUGGAUUCACCAGUUUUAUAAGAUAUUUGAUUUAUAUUUCUGCAUAGUAGCUUCAUUUAGUUUUCAGAUCAUUCAGACUACUGUGGGCCCAAUCUCCUAUUGAUAAAAACUAAAUGAUAGGACAUUUUUGAAACUUCAAAGCAAUUUGGUAGUGAUCAUGAGGAGAAUGAGUUUUUAAAAAAUUAUUUGAGUUUCUUUGAUGUACUGGUAUAUUAUAUCAGGGUAUGGAGAUUGUUUGUCAGUGUGUCACAAAUAUGUUACCAGCAUAUAGUGCUACACGUGAUUGUGGGUUACUGGGGUAGGUCUUACAACAUCUGAAUGUUGUCGGGUCAUACAACAUCUUAAAUGUUGUCGGGUAAUACAACAUCUAAAUGUUGUCGGGUCUCACAACAUCUUAAAUGUAGUACGGUCAUACAACAUCUACAUGUUGUCGGGUCAUACAACAUCUACAUGUUGUCGGGUCAUACAACAUCUACAUGUUGUCGGGUCAUACAACAUCUACAUGUUGUCGGGUCAUACAACAUCUACAUGUUGUCGGGUCAUACAACAUCUACAUGUUGUCAGUUCAUACAACAUCUACAUGUUGUCGGGUCAUACAACAUCUUAAAUUUUGUCAGGUAAUACAACAUCUAAAUGUUUUCGGGUCUUACAACAUCUAAAUGUUGUCAGGUAAUACAACAUCUUAAAUGUUGUCAGGUAAUACAACAUCUUAAAUGUUGUCAGGUAAUACAACAUCUAAAUGUUGUCGGGUCUCACAACAUCUAAAUGUAGUACGGUCAUACAACAUCUGAAUGUUGUAAGGUCAUACAGCAUCUAAAUGUUGUCGGGUCUUACAACAUCUUAAAUGUUGUCAGUUCAUACAACAUCUACAUGUUGUCAGGUCAUACAACAUCUAAAUGUUGUAAGGUCAUACAACAUCUACAUGUUGUCAGGUCAUACAACAUCUAAAUGUUGUAAGGUCAUACAACAUCUACAUGUUGUCAGGUCAUACAACAUCUACAUGUUGUCUGGUCAUACAACAUCUUAAUGUUGUCUGGUCAUACAACAUCUACAUGUUGUCAGGUCAUACAACAUCUAAAUGUUGUCAGGUAUUACAACAUCUUAAAUGUUGUCAGGUAAUACAACAUCUUAAAUGUUGUCAGGUAAUACAACAUCUACAUGUUGUCGGGUCAUACAACAUCUACAUGUUGUCAGGUCAUACAACAUCUUAAAUGUUGUCAGGUAAUACAACAUCUUAAAUGUUGUCAGGUAAUACAACAUCUAAAUGUUGUCGGGUCUUACAACAUCUACAUGUUGUCAGGUCAUACAACAUCUUAAAUGUUGUCAGGUCAUACAACAUCUUAAAUGUUGUCGGGUCUUACAACAUCUAAAUGUUGUCAGGUAAUACAACAUCUAAAUGUUGUCGGGUCUCACAACAUCUAAAUGUAGUACGGUCAUACAACAUCUGAAUGUUGUAAGGUCAUACAGCAUCUAAAUGUUGUCGGGUCAUACAACAUCUACAUGUUGUCGGGUAAUACAACAUCUUAAUGUUGUCAGGUUAUACAACAUCUAAAUGUUGUAAGGUCAUACAACAUCUACAUGUUGUCGGGUCAUACAACAUCUUAAAUGUUGUCAGGUAAUACAACAUCUUAAAUGUUGUCAGGUAAUACAACAUCUAAAUGUUGUCGGGUCUCACAACAUCUAAAUGUAGUACGGUCAUACAACAUCUGAAUGUUGUCAGGUCAUACAACAUCUAAAUGUUGGCAGUUCAUACAACAUCUAAAUGUUGUAAAGUCAUGAUAUCAUACAACAUCUUGAUGUGUCUUACCCAUGGUACAAUUUAUGACAGUUUGAUAGAGAUACUUUUAGAUAUUAUUUUAAAUCAUUUUAUAGUCAUUAUUGCAAAAUGAUUUGCUUAAAUAAGUACUCUGACUCUUAAAUGAAGAAAUUUUGCUAUAGAUUAUGAAUACCGGUAUGUCGUAUUCACUAGUGAAUAUAGUUGGUCUGAGAAUAUAUACAUGUACAGUGAAAUAUAUUUACUAUUUGUUUGAGUAGAUAUCUAGUAGUAUUAACAUGUUUUAAAGUGAUUUUUGGUUAAUUUGAUUUAGAUUUAAAACUAUAUUGCCUUUGAAUAAUUGAUAAUGUUAGAUUCUAUGUUGAUAAUAAUUAAGAUUUUAUUUUUGAAAUUUUGUGAUGUAUGGCUGAUUGUUUCACCUUUGUACCUGUAAUAAUGUGAUAAUGACCGUUAGGAUACAAUUUCCUGAUGUACAUCAAGAUUUUAAAACAUAGCGAACCUCUUUGUGGUAUUUAGAAGUCUGAGUUUCCUCUGACUCUUGCUCCCUUUCAGACAUUCAAUCUGAUGACUUGAUAACUGAGAGUCAUGCUAUCUAUGCAAUGUCACUUCUUUAAGAAGGAUCUAUAAACAUUUCAGUUAUAGUUUAAAUCAUUGAAUAGCUGAGGAUAAGUGGCUUUAGUGACCCUGCAGGACUUACGAUAUCUGGCUAUUAUCUUUGAAUAAGCCUAGGGGGUUUACACUUUGAAUCUUCAGUUGUUCACAUUUGCAGUGAAUUACAAUAGGCUUAUUACCAGGCAGGGUCUGAUGUCCAAUAGAUGUGGUAGAAAAAACUGGCUGCAAUCGUAGAAGUCGGCAUGGAUUUGUCCCAGUUCAAACAUCCGAUUCUGUGUUUGAAAAUAAUUACAUGUAGUUAGAAAGGUAUUGAACCUUUUGUGUGUUAUCCAUGCAUCUCUAGUCAUAAACCUGGGUAAUUCAUAGUCUUCUAUUGGUUAACCAUCGUUGUCAUGGUAACACAAGGUCAUCCUUAGUCUUCUAUUGGUUAAUCAUCGUUGUCAUGGUAACACAAGGUCAUCCGUAGUCUUCUAUUGGUUAACCAUCGUUGUCAUGGUAACACAAGGUCAUCCUUAGUCUUCUAUUGGUUAAUCAUCGUUGUCAUGGUAACACAAGGUCAUCCUUAGUCUUCUAUUGGUUAAUCAUCGUUGUCAUGGUAACACAAGGUCAUCCUUAGUCUUCUAUUGGUUAACCAUCGUUGUCAUGGUAAUACAAGGUCAUCCUUAGUCCUCUAUGGGUUAACCAUCAUUGUCAUGGUAAUACAAGGUCAUCCUUAGUCCUCUAUUGGUUAACCAUCGUUGUCAUGGUAACACAAGGUCAUCCUUAGUCCUCUGGGUUAACCAUCGUUGUCAUGGUAACACAAGGUCAUCCUUAGUCCUCUAUGGGUUAACCAUCAUAGUCAUGGUAACACAAGGUCAUCCUUAGUCCUGUAUGGGUUAGCCAUCGUUGUCAUGGUAAUACAAGGUCAUCCUUAGUCCUCUAUGGGUUUACCAUCGUUGUCAUGGUAAUACAAGGUCAUCCUUAGUCCUCUAUGGGUUAACCAUCGUUGUCAUGGUAACACAAGGUCAUCUCCUCUAUUGGUUAACCAUCUGUAGUCGUGGUAACACAGUUUGUCCUUUGUCCUGUAUAUAUGGGUAAACCAUCUAGAUCUGUUGUCAUGGUAACACAAGGUCAUCCUUUGUCUUCUAUGGGUUAACCAUCUGUAGUCAUGGUAACACAAGGUCAUCCUUACUAAUCUGUGGGUUAACCAUCUGUAGUCAUGGUAACACAAGGUCAUCCUUAGUCUUCAAUAGGUUAACUAUCUGUAGUCAUGGUAACAAGGUUAUCCUUAAUCCUUCAUUGACUACAGGUGAAUACAUGGUAAUUAUGGAUGCCACUCUUGUGGUUGCGUAACGACUUGAGAUAGGUCUUUGCCUUCUUGGUUGAUUUUCAAUUGUACAUUACUAAACAAAUAUUUGUCAUAAAAUCAAUUAAGAAAAUGUGAAUGUUUUCAUUAGAAUGAUGGACAUAUUUAUUUCAAAAAAUCUUUCACACAAAAAAGGUGUUUGGGUACAGUAGGAUUACAGGUGAAACAAUAGCCCAGAGAAAGAAUUACAUUGUUGUUUGUAAACAGUAUGAAAGGAAGUAUUUUGAGUGAAUCAUGGGAUAUACCUCCAAAAUUAUCUCGACUAUAUUUACACCAAAUUUCUUAUUGAUUUCCGAUAACUUUUAUUGGUUGUUAGAAAUUUUAUUUCUAGAAAAUAUAUCUUCAAACUUUAUUUUUUGAUGUAAUUUUUGUUAUGUUCAUUGAAAGACAAAACACCAAUACUGAGUAGAACUCUCGAAAUACCUAUGAUAUAAGUAUCCCUGUAAACAGGAUAUCAUUGUAAGAAAUGUCCCUGAUAACAGUUUAAUUUAAUUUAAUUUGACCUGAAAGUGGUUAAAGCAUACAUGAUAUUUAUGUACGUCGUGUAGUGAUUUUCAUCGGGGAUUCCUGGAACUGUCCGUUAUGGACAGGUGUCCGCUAUAUAAGGGUGUCUGCUAGUACAGGUUUGACUGUACUUCUUUAUUACCGUGUGUGACAUUUUUUGUAAGAAAACAUGAAAUUCAAAUGCACUAAGGUCGGGAUAAACAAAAUUUAAUUUUAGAUUUAUAUGAACAAUAUUAUUGACAUCAACAUUUUAAAAGAGACAUAUUGAUGAUAUUCCUGUAAAAUAAAAACAGAUAUAUGGAAUGAUAUAUAUGUAAUAUUCAAAACUAAGGUUAUCCUGACCCAAAGUGCCUGUAUUUUCCCCUCCAGAAUUGAUCAUUUUCAUUGACUUUUAAAAUUUUCUGUGAAACUUUACCAACAAUAAAAACUUUCAGAUUUUAAAUGGAGAUGUCUUUUUCUAUCAGUUACUUAACAGUCGUUAGUUAUCGAGUCUACAGAGAAAAUUACACCAGCUGUUAUGAUUGGCAGUGUAAGCAUGAUUUGUUUAGUCAUUAUAUAUAUCAAUAUUUGCAUCUGUAUAUGCGGUGAAGUUUAUAUCUAGUUUAGAUGUGGUGUGACUUGUGUUUCAAUGUGAAAUUGUAUUCAUAUACAUGUAUACUACUAGUAGCUUGUAUGAAAUAAAAAAAAUCUAACAUUUUCUAA